UUGAUGACCACCUGGGCGAAGGCGGUUACCAGAACAUUUCUGACGGUGAGGGAUGAAAGCUGGGGGAGCAAACCGGAUUAGAUACCCGGGUAGUCCCAGCUGUAACUAUGCAAACUCAGUGAUGCAUUGGCUUGUGGCCAAUGCAGUGUUGCAGGGAAGCCGUUAAGUUUGCCGCCUGGGAAGUACGUACGCAAGUAUGAAACUUAAAGGAAUUGGCCGGGGAGCACCACAAGGGGUGAAGCCUGCGGUUCAAUUGGAGUCAACGCCAGAAAUCUUACCCGGAGAGACAGCAGAAUGAAGGUCAAGCUGAAGACUUUACCAGACAAGCUGAGAGGUGGUGCAUGGCCGUCGCCAGCUCGUGCCGUGAGAUGUCCUGUUAAGUCAGGUAACGAGCGAGAUCCCUGCCUCUAGUUGCCACCAUUACUCUCAGGAGUAGUGGGGCGAAUUAGCGGGACCGCCGCAGUUAAUGCGGAGGAAGGAAGGGGCCACGGCAGGUCAGUAUGCCCCGAAACUCUGGGGCCACACGCGGGCUGCAAUGGUAAUGACAACGUGUUCCGAAUCCGAAAGGAGGAGGUAAUCAUCAAACAUUACCACAGUUAUGACUGAGGGCUGCAACUCGCCCUCACGAAUAUGGAAUCCCUAGUAACUGCGUGUCAUUAUCGCGCGGUGAAUACGUCUCUGCUCCUUGCACACACCGCCCGUCGUUUCAUUGAAGUGAGCUUUUAGUGAGGUGACGUCUGAUUGGCGUUAUCGAACUUGA
rnacentral:rRNA from 1 species